GCAUCUUCCAUCGCCUCGAGCAACGACAUCUUCCAUCACCAUCGACAACGUCAUCUUCCUUAGAUCAGCAUCUUCAAAUAGCCAUACUGGCAACCACACAAUAGAGCAGUUGCACAGAGAAUUCAGAAUAUGGGAUGGAGGGCUGAUGGUGGUCUUUGGCUUCUAGUGCAUGGCGGUGGACUUUACCUUAGCAAAUGCACAGGGGUAAGUAAAAGAGAAGAACUUUGUCAUUUUUAAAGAAAAAAAGAAAGAGAGAGUAUGUGUAACGUAGAUUUGUGUAUCUGUAUUCUUAUCUAAUGAUGCCUGAAUACUAGUAUUCUUCA